rnacentral:tRNA from 1 species
CGGGGUGUGGCGCAGCUUGGUAGCGCACCGGUCUGGGGGACCGGGGGUCACCGGUUCAAUUCCGGUCACCCCGACCA